UUAAAUUUCAAAGGAUGGUGCCCUUUUUUACAAUGUUUCAAACCUCCAAAUGUUUUCGGUUGCUGUGCGAAUUCCAGACACACAAAGCAAAUACCUGGUUUCCAUUUUGGUUUGACAGGCGUGAGAUAAACUCCCACCCCCA